AGAGUUUGAUCAUGGCUCAGAUUGAACGCUGGCGGAAUGCUUUACACAUGCAAGUCGAGCGGCAGCGCGGGGCAACCUGGCGGCGAGCGGCGAACGGGUGAGUAAUGCAUCGGAACAUGUCCAUUCGUGGGGGAUAGCCCGGCGAAAGCCGGAUUAAUACCGCAUAAGCCCUUAGGGGGAAAGCCGGGGACCGCAAGCCUGGCGCGAAUGGGUUGGCCGAUGCCCGAUUAGCUAGUUGGUGAGGUAAAGGCUUACCAAGGCGAUGAUCGGUAGCUGGUCUGAGAGGAUGAUCAGCCACACUGGGACUGAGACACGGCCCAGACUCCUACGGGAGGCAGCAGUGGGGAUUUUGGACAAUGGGGGCAACCCUGAUCCAGCCAUUCCGCGUGAGUGAAGAAGGCCUUCGGGUUGUAAAGCUCUUUUGUCCGGAGCGAAAAGGUUACGGUGAAUAUCCGUGACUACUGACGGUACCGGAAGAAUAAGCACCGGCUAACUACGUGCCAGCAGCCGCGGUAAUACGUAGGGUGCGAGCGUUAAUCGGAAUUACUGGGCGUAAAGCGUGCGCAGGCGGUUUUGUAAGCCAGAUGUGAAAUCCCCGGGCUUAACCUGGGAAUGGCAUUUGGGACUGCAAGGCUGGAGUUUGGCAGAGGAGACUGGAAUUCCUGGUAGCAGUGAAAUGCGUAGAUAUCAGGAGGAAUACCGAUGGCGAAGGCAGGUCUCUGGGCUAUAACUGACGCUCAUGCACGAAAGCGUGGGGAGCAAACAGGAUUAGAUACCCUAGUAGUCC
rnacentral:rRNA from 1 species